rnacentral:rRNA from 1 species
UACGAAGGACCCGAGCGUUAUCCGGAUUUAUUGGGUUUAAAGGGUGCGUAGGCGGAUUUACAAGUCAGUGGUGAAAUCUCCCAGCUUAACUGGGAAACUGCCAUUGAAACUGUUUAUCUUGAGUACAUUUGAGGCGGGCGGAAUGUGUCAUGUAGAGGUGAAAUUCUUAGAUAUGACACAGAACACCAAUUGCGAAGGCAGCUCGCUAAACUGUAACUGACGCUGAGGCACGAAAGCGUGGGGAUCAAACGGG